CCGCCUCUCGCCCCUUCCCCGGUCCCAGAUCUGUGUCCACGGGCGUUUCUAGGGUUUGGGGUCUGCGCGAUCUGGGGGUCGGUUUUGGGCGAUGGGGCGAUAUAGGGGAGGGCCGCGCCUUCGGCGAUCUAGUUCGCCCGGGGUGAUGGGAAUGUUCAGCUGGGGUCAGCGUGUUUCGGUUAGGGAUUGUGGAUUCGAUGUAAGGUGGUGUGAUGAAUGCUAUCACCCGACGUUAGUAUUGAGGUCAAAUGUUUGUUAUGCGAUCCUACAAAGGGACGGGCUGGGCUUUCUGUUUGCGCGAGGUUGUGAGGUAAUGAUCAGGUAUUUUCCUUGUUUCCGUUGGUCGUCGGCUGGCACGGGCAAGUUGGAGCAGACCUUCUUGGAUGGGUCAAUUUGGUGUAAUCCACCACAUAAAUGGGGUCAGCGUGUUUCAGUUAGGGAUUGUGGAUUCGAUGUAAGGUGGUGUGAUGAAUGCUAUCACCCGACGUUAGUAUUGAGGUCAAAUGUUUGUUAUGCGAUCCUACAAAGGGACGGGCUGGGCUUUCUGUUUGCGCGAGGUUGUGAGGUAAUGAUCAGGUAUUUUCCUUGUUUCCGUUGGUCGUCGGCUGGCACGGGCAAGUUGGAGCAGACCUUCUUGGAUGGGUCAAUUUGGUGUAAUCCACCACAUAAAUGGGGUCAGCGUGUUUCAGUUAGGGAUUGUGGAUUCGAUGUAAGGUGGUGUGAUGAAUGCUAUCACCCGACGUUAGUAUUGAGGUCAAAUGUUUGUGAUGCGAUCCUACAAAGGGACGGGCUCGGCUUUCUGUUUGCGCGAGGUUGUGAGGUAAUGAUCAGGUAUUUUCCUUGUUUUCGUUGGUCGUCGGCUGGCACGGGCAAGUUGGAGCAGACAUUCUUGGAUGGGUCAAUUUGGUGUAAUCCACCACAUAAAUGGGUGUUGGUCGACUUCAGCUGCUUAACCGAUGAGUACAACUUGGAGCAUUUGAGAUCUCUGAAGACAAAUGAUUGCUGCUGAUAAUGAUUGCAGUUAUUUUGGGGUUUAGUGGAUGUACAGGAGUUGCUGUAAUUUCAGAGCAUCCAAGUUUGACAUCUUUAGGCUGUAAAAAUGCAUGCUUGCCUGCUUGACUUCCUUUUAUGGACUUCUUUCUGUUGGUUUUUUCCCGUGAGUGAGGAUUUUGGGUCUCAUUUGGGAUUCCUUGUACAGUUAUUUUCUCAGAAUAAUCUCUACCUCAUGUCAAUGAUUGCAUAAGCAAUGCUUUAUUUCUGACUAGCAUGAUAUAUUGCAUGUAAUUCUAUUAUAUGUUCACUGUUUUAAUUUGUUGUUGUGAUGUGUGGUAAAUCAUACCUUUUCUCUGUGUGUGGUUCUGAGUUGAAAUAGUGGAUUGAGGACAAGUGACCUGGACUUGUACAAGUGCUUAUCGUGUAAUUGUGUUCUGGUGCUGACGUGCUGUUGUAGAUUUAGUAAGGUUAUUACUUGUCAGCGUUUACUAUUUAAUGUCAACAUCCCUGGUGUAGAUUAACCUGAUUGGGAAAAGAUUAUUCUGAACUUCCAUACUAGAAAAAUGUUUCUUGGUCUGCUAAUCGCUUCAAUUGUUGCAACUUAGUAUCUUGUCAGUAAAGGUAGCUUGCUGACAUCACUGGCUUUGUUAUUUCGUCUCUUCUAAUGUAUUUACUAUGAUAUGCACCAACUACUUGAUAUUUUAUCGUGCUGUAUGCUCUGGGGAGGUUGUUGAACUUGCUAUUUGGGAUGGAAGGGUGAUCUGAGUAUUAUUUGAAGGUUGACAUGGUAAUUGUACCAGCUACAACUGGCCAGAUGGGUGUUUUGCCAGGCCAUGUUUCCACAAUCGCAGAGCUCAAGCCUGGUGUUCUCUCGGUACACGAGGGAAACGAUGUGACUAAGUACUUUGUGAGCAGU